GCCCUGUCGCAGGAAGAAGCCUCCAUUGGCCAGUUCGCAUCCGCACACUAGCCAGGGCCAAACAACAGGCAGUUCCAUCAAACGCACAAUCACACCAAGUAUGUGACUACUUCUUCACCUUGCCUCACCCUCAAGCGUCUGGAUUUGGCCUGUUUUACUUCUGCUUCCCUACCCCGACCCUUGCCCCUCGUCUCCUGCUCCUACCACAGUGGAUUCUCCAGCAACCAAUCAGGUCACGUUCACAUGUGCAAAGCACUCCACAACCAUGUCACCAUAUUUAAAUAAUAGUUCAAGAAAUUUAUUGAUUAAUGGCGUGCUUGUGUUCAUUUCCCACAGCGCUGAUGCCCAUCCCUUCAUGAAAUAGAAAUAUGACACGUGCAUGGAAAGAGGAGCUCCGAAUGUUCAGAAAUUGUCCCAUGGUUUGAACAUUGUUUGAAAAGAUUUUGACAAGUAAUGGGCAAUACAAAGGAUCCUUAAAUCUCCAACUGGGUGGGUAUGAGUCAC